AACGAACGCUGGCGGCGCGCCUAAUACAUGCAAGUCGAACGAGAAGCUGUAGCAAUACGUUUGUAAAGCGGCGAACGGGUGAGGAAUACAUGGGUAACCUACCCUCGAGUGGGGAAUAACUAGCCGAAAGGUUAGCUAAUACCGCGUACGCUCCUUGGACUUCGGUUCAGGGAGGAAAGCGAUACCGUGGGUAUCGCGCUCUUGGAUGGGCUCAUGUCCUAUCAGCUUGUUGGUGAGGUAACGGCUCACCAAGGCUUCGACGGGUAGCUGGUCUGAGAGGACGAUCAGCCACACUGGCACUGCGACACGGGCCAGACUCCUACGGGAGGCAGCAGUAAGGAAUAUUGCGCAAUGGGCGAAAGCCUGACGCAGCGACGCCGCGUGGGGGAUGAAGGUCUUCGGAUU
rnacentral:rRNA from 1 species